GACGAACGCUGGCGGCGUGCCUAACACAUGCAAGUCGAGCGGAGAUACAUUGAAGAGCAAUCAGAUAUGUAUCUUAGCGGCGGACGGGUGAGUAACGCGUGGGCAACCUGCCUCAUACUGGGGGAUAACACAGGGAAACUUGUGCUAAUACCGCAUAAUAUCAUUAUAGGGCAUCCUGUGAUGAUCAAAGGAGCAAUCCGGUGUGAGAUGGGCCCGCGUCCAAUUAGCUAGUUGGUGGGGUAACGGCCCACCAAGGCGACGAUUGGUAGCCGAACUGAGAGGUUGAUCGGCCGCAUUGGGACUGAGACACGGCCCAGACUCCUACGGGAGGCAGCAGUGGGGGAAUAUUGCGCAAUGGGGGAAACCCUGACGCAGCAACGCCGCGUGAAGGAUGAAGGUCUUCGGAUUGUAAACUUCUUUGAUGAGGGACGAACACAAUGACGGUACCUCAAAACAAGCCACGGCUAACUACGUGCCAGCAGCCG
rnacentral:rRNA from 1 species